GCGCCCGUAGCUCAGGUGGAUAGAGCAGCGGUUUCCUAAACCGCAGGUCACAGGUUCGAAUCCUGUCGGGCGCA
rnacentral:tRNA from 1 species